AGUAUAGAGCUGCUCAAUAAACAGAAGUAAAACAACUGAGUUUCAUAUACAUAGUCCAAGUCCAAAAUACAGAGUUACUCACACUGGCGAGUUAAGUAAGCUAUGUAUACAACUCGAAACAAAACAUUUACCUACAGCAGGGAUGCCUCUAGCUCUGUCGAUCGGGUAGGGCUCUAACUCGCGACGCCCUUGCCUCGAUCCUGGUCUGCGGAAGGCGCAGCAGCCGAAACCUGUGGCUCUGCAAAACAGGAGUAACAACUGGGCGUGAGAACUACUGUAAAAAUAAGUAGUCCUCAGUGGGUGCCGCCCAAACAACAUCGGUCCACCCACUAAGUCUACAGAAGGGAGCAAAGGUAGAAGUAAAUGCUGGAAUAAAAUCUACAGCUACUAAUUACUACCCUAUCGUGCUCUAGCUAACCAACUGUAGGAAAUGUCAACACUGANUCGCGUACAAGCUGAAAUACCCACGGUCGACGGUGAAUUUCAGCAAAACAGCAUUUCGAGUAGAAGUAGCAGAAUCAGCUGAAACCUCGAAGGAAUUGGAGAAUAGCUCACCACACCCGCUGUCCAACUCCGGUGCGUCGACGAUAACAGCAACGACUCGCGCUCGCACAGCUUCCUCGCGCUGCCCCGACGUCAAGUACGUGCUCGAUCGGUUCCGCGGCGCGACGUCGACGGCGAAAUCUCUCCGCGGCACUCCUCAAGCUUGUCCCCUGCUUCAGUCGCACGAGAAAGAGAGAGAAACGAGAGACUUAAUUAGUGAAGUGCAUGCACACCCUCCUUAAUUAAACAGAUAUGCAUGCAAUGGGAGGGGGUGUACGUGCAAGUUGCUAAGCACAUGCAUGUUGAUAAGCAUGCAUGGGUACACGUGGCUCCAAGCCACCAUAAUUAGUAUGCAACCCACUCAAAGAAACUAAU
rnacentral:lncRNA from 1 species